GGUGUUCUAGACACGGAGGAGCUGGGCAUAGGAGUAAAGUCAAUGGUUGCUUUACAGUGUGUGCGCUUGCUGUCUAGAUGCCAGCCAUAGGAGUAAAGUCAAUGAGAUACGCUGCUGCUAGCGCAGGUGAGGUGUGCUUCUUGGAACUGGCUAGGUGCGAGCUGGUGAGAUGCUGUCGAGCCUGAAGCAAUGAUGCCUUCUCUAGAUUAGAUGGAUGAGCAUACGGUGGAGUCUUGCUCUUGGGCCGGUGGUGGUUGGUAGCCGGACGCUGUGACGCGUUGCUAGAGAGAGCGGUGCACACAGGGACAAGUUGGUAGGUUGCCAUAUUGUUGGUGGACAGAAGAGGUCCUGAUCAUGCAGGUGCAAGAAGGGGACGUGUAGGCAUAUAUGCCUGGAGGUUGGGGGAGAAGGACUGAUAAUGGAUGUUGCUGCUGUAGGGUGGGUUUACAUUAUGGGCUAGCUUUAUGUGCAUCCUUGUGUCUUUCUUGUAUUUGUGGUUUGAUCCGUUGAUUACUUGU